rnacentral:rRNA from 1 species
GAUGAACGCUAGCUGGAGGCUUAAUUCAUGCAAGUCGAGCGGGAUUGGUAGCAAUACCAUGAGAGCGGCGCACGGGUGAGUAACGCGUACACGACCUACCUCUGACAGGGGGAUAGCCCUGGGAAACUGGGAUUAAUACCGCAUAUUAUUCUGAUUAAUAAAGGAUUGGAAUGAAAGUUCAGGCGGUCAGAGAUGGGUGUGCGUCUGAUUAGCUAGUUGGUGGGGUAACGGCCUACCAAGGCGAUGAUCAGUAGGGGGCGUGAGAGCGUGGUCCCCCACACGGGUACGGAGACACGGACCCGACUCCUACGGGAGGCAGCAGUAAGGAAUAUUGGACAAUGGCCACAAGGCUGAUCCAGCCAUCCAGCGUGCAGGAAGAAGGCCCUAUGGGUUGUAAACUGCUUUUAUCAGGGAAGAAACCUCUGGAUUUGCUCCGGAGCUGACGGUACCUGAAGAAUAAGCACCGGCUAACUCCGUGCCAGCAGCCGCCGUAACAC